rnacentral:lncRNA from 1 species
UUAAAUGAAAAUGUUAAUUUCUUUAAAUGUAUUACUGACUUGGUAGUGUAUGUUGAAAUUUCAGUGUAUUUAGAUUGAUGAUAGACACUUCAUUUAAACAGGAGACACAGUUCAAUUCCAGAAUACAUUGUGAAUGAAUGAGAUAAGCUUGUUUGCGUCCGUAGGGGCUGCCAUUUAACUCUAUAACCUUUUGUUGACCUUUUUUCAGAAUCAGCCAGGUUGCACUAGCAAGUAGUUUAGCCUAACUCUAACCCUAACCCAAACUAAAACUAGCCCAGGACCCAGAUAGAUGAUGCACCCUAGAAGAAAGGAGUCUAGAAAAAUCUUUUAGCCUAAGAGGGGGCUAUAUUAGUUCUGUGAAUCAUAGGAGGCCUGGCAUUCUGGGUGUCCCCUUACAUGCCAUAUAAGUACCCCUUCCUCCCCCCUCCCCACAAUGCCAUAGUGCUAUCGCUCUCGGUAGAGGGGCAGAUAUUCUUAGGCUGUCUGUCCAGCUCAUCUGAACAGAGGCUGUUUGGCACGUGCCCCCGCCCCCCUCCAAAUCCAUUUACCCCAUCCGUUUGGAGAAAUUCUGUUGCUUAAACAAUACACAGGCUUUUUUGAACAAUGAGUUCGUACAACGUUUCACUCGCUGGACCUUCGCCUUGGGGCUUCCGGUUGCAAGGAGGCAAGGACUUCAACAUGCCCCUCACCAUUUCCAGGGUAAGACCCCCAAAUCUAGGCCAAACAGACAGUGAUUCAUUAGUAAAUUAGCAUUUACUCGCAAACCAAUCAAUGUAGACUGAGUCUAAUUGAAUGUUUUACUCAUAUUGGAAUUCAAUUCAGUUUCGGUUCAAUUUAGAUUUUCCAAACCUCACUGUCCAGUUCUCUUAUUAUGAAACUUAAAAUAUGAUCCAUCAUUUCAUUGAUUCGUAGUUCCUUUGUUCAUUCAUUGUUAUCUUGGUACUUGAUUCUUUGCUGAUCUGUCGCUGAUCCAGAGUUUUUUGUUGUGUAAUAGUAAUGACGUUAUUCAUCAUAUGAAAUAUGCUUCUCCUAAAAUAUAAUGCUGUUAUUAUCAUUAUGACAUAUCCUUCUUGAUUUGGAAACUUGCAUUGGGCAUGUGCAGUUUGAGCCUCAUAGAAGUGAUUGGUAUCUUGAUGUAAAGUUUGUGUAUCACCUUUUGGUGCUGUUAGAUAUUGUUUUUUUUUCUGAAUUACUUAGUAGUUUUUCUGCAAUGCUGCUUUAUUGAAGAAUCAUGUAAAUCCAUAUUUCCAAUGUAGAUGUACUGUAUUGAUCGUAAUGUAUGUUGUCAGUUCAUUGCAAUCGAGUCAAUUCAUACUUGUUCUGCAGUUAUUCUUGUGUGUGACGUGAAGUCAUGAUGACUAAUUCUUCUCUAGAACAGCUAGUUCUGAGAAAUUGUAGUUCGAUAUAUACAAGGAAGUCAGGAUGAAUGAGUGCAAAAGGUUGUUUAUGAGGUCUUUAUUGUAAGACAGGAAGGUCAGAUAUCACAGAAGGGUGAGUUCUCAUUGUACUGUAAAAAAUUCUAGCUCUGCAAACGCAUAUAGUUGACCUAGUAGAGAGAUUUUACUUAUUGAAAUCAUAAUGAGAACAUACCAGAGAACAUUAUAUUGUCGGCAUGAGUG